rnacentral:rRNA from 1 species
CAAUAGCGUAUAUUUAAGUUGCUGCAGUUAAAGAGCUCGUAGUUGGAUUUCGGGUGGGAAUGGCCGGUCCGCCGUUUCGGUGUGCACUUGCUACGCCCACCUUGCUGCCGGGGACGUGCUCUUGAGUUCACGCUCGGGACACGGAGUCGGCGAGGUUACUUUGGGUAAAUUAGAGUGUUCAAAGCAGGCCUACGCUCUGAAUACAUUAGCAUGGAAUAACACGAUAGGACUCUGGCCUAUCUUGUUGGUCUGUAGGACCGGAGUAAUGAUUAAGAGGGACAGUCGGGGGCAUUCGUAUUUCAUUGUCAGAGGUGAAAUUCUUGGAUUUAUGAAAGACGAACUACUGCGAAAGCAUUUGCCAAGGAUGUUUUCAUUAA